GACGAACGCUGGCGGCGUGCUUAACACAUGCAAGUCGAACGGUGAAGGGACCGGUUUUUGCUGGUUCUGGAUGAGUGGCGAACGGGUGAGUAACACGUGAGUAACCUUCCCCCUUCUUCUGGAUAACCGCAUGAAAGUGUGGCUAAUACGGGAUAUUCUGCUCCUGCUGCAUGGUGGGUGUGGGAAGGAUAUGGUUUCUGUAGGGGAUGGGCUCGCGGCCUAUCAGCUUGUUGGUGGGGUGAUGGCCUACCAAGGCGGUGACGGGUAGCCGGCCUGAGAGGGUGGACGGUCACACUGGGACUGAGACACGGCCCAGACUCCUACGGGAGGCAGCAGUGGGGAAUAUUGCACAAUGGGAGCAAGCCUGAUGCAGCGACGCCGCGUGAGAGAUGGAGGCCUUCGGGUUGUAAACCUCUUUCGCCAGUGAAGCAGGCCUGUCCCUUUUGUGGGUGGGUUGACGGUAGCUGGAUAAGAAGCGCCGGCUAACUACGUG
rnacentral:rRNA from 1 species